UACGGAGGGGGCUAGCGUUGUUCGGAAUUACUGGGCGUAAAGCGUACGUAGGCGGCUUUGUAAGUUAGAGGUGAAAGCCUGAUGCUCAACAUCAGAAUUGCCUUUAAGACUGCAUCGCUCGAAUCGUGGAGAGGUAAGUGGAAUUCCGAGUGUAGAGGUGAAAUUCGUAGAUAUUCGGAAGAACACCAGUGGCGAAGGCGGCUUACUGGACACGUAUUGACGCUGAGGUACGAAAGCGUGGGGAGCAAACAGG
rnacentral:rRNA from 1 species